CUGCAUUUAAACUUGAGUGUUGCCCUGUUUAAGGCUGGUCCUAAGCUGAAAUAUACAGAAUUUAAGUUUUAGUGUCCUUUGGCCUCAGACUGACUCCUGAGUCCCCUCUAGCUUCCCUGUACUCUCAGACUCAUGAUGAGUUUCCAUUAUUACUUUUCUCUUCCCUUACGCGGCACUCUGUUAAAGCAGUGCUAGUCAGGCUGCUGAUACUCUGAGGACUUCGAAUUUUUGAUACUCCAGUUUGAGACAGAGAGACCCCAAGAUUGUCCCCAGUGAUCUCUGUUUCCUGAUAUUCAUGCCUGUGUAUCCCUUUCAUCUUGAGUGUGCAUGGGCCCUGUGACAGAAGUGAUGGGACUGGUCCUUCCACAAUGACAUUACAUGGCAUUGCAACUUCUGUAUUGCUAGCAGACUCUAGAGUGCCUUCUGAGCUCCCGUGCAUGAAGCAAGACGCCAUGUUGGGGGGGUACUCAGUGAAAAUGGACUCGAGACCACUACUGGCUGUCAGCAGGACUGCAGUAUAGGUCUUUAGAGACCAUUCUUGGAAAUAAAUGGAACUGACAAACACCAAGCUGUGGUAUAAUUGCCCGUCCCCUCCUACCAAGGUGCUGUUACUGAGUCAGCUUGUGCCUGAUUCCUUGUGCCACAUUCCUUGUGCCUGAAAACUUUAAGGUAAGUUUUCAUUCAGAAAAUACCUCGGUGAUUCAUACAGAGAGAGUGCUGUUGGGAGUGCAUACGCAAUUCCCCAAAUAAUCUUGGGUGGGCUUAAAUCCAGCCAUGGGCACAACUUAGCCAAAAUCUAAGAUCACAUACCUUGUCGGAUAAUUUAUCCUCUUCCAGGUGCAGCUACAGUGAUUAUGACUGAUAUUAAACUUUAUUCUUAACUUUAAGAAAUGCU
rnacentral:lncRNA from 1 species